GAUGAAAUAUAUGUUAGAGGUUCUCUUUUGAGAUUAAUUGGGAAGAGAGGUUUUAUUCCUCCACGGUCCCGCCACUGUGUUGCUGAUGAAAGGUAGUUAUGCCACUGACUCUGUUGGGAAGGUUACUGAGUAAAUUGAAGCUAAGUCAGGAGACCAGCCUUGAUACAUUAUUUUAAA
rnacentral:ncRNA from 21 species